UAGAGUAUUUUUUAAAUAUCC
rnacentral:piRNA from 1 species